UACGGAGGGUGCAAGCGUUAUCCGGAAUCACUGGGUUUAAAGGGUGCGUAGGCGGUGUGGUAAGUCAGUCGUGAAAUUCCCCGGCUUAACCGGCGGGACUGCGAUUGAUACUGCCAUACUUGAAUCAGGUUGAGGUAGGCGGAAUGUGGCAUGUAGCGGUGAAAUGCUUAGAUAUGCCAUAGAACACCGAUUGCGAAGGCAGCUUGCUGGGCCUUGAUUGACGCUGAGGCACGAAAGCGUGGGGAGCAAACAGG
rnacentral:rRNA from 1 species